CGUCAUUCUGAUCCAGAAAAUUGAUCUAGACACCAGUCAGUUAGCCCAGGCCAAGCUUCACAAUAAUGUGUUUGUUUGUCUCCACACACCUGGGUCACCUGCCUCUCAGACUCCCUCACCUGACCCUGAUGUGUCAUCUAAGGCUUCCCAUCAUGGUAGGAGGAAUGGGUUGGACUAUGUGAAACAGCUCCUGGGUGUUAUUUGUGGUGAAAGAAAGCAACUGUGUUUCUGCCUUGUUCAACCGAUCCCCGGCUUCUCCCCGUUGCUACCCUGCUGCAGCUCCUGUCAAUGUCAGGCUGUCAGGAGGAGGUAGGAAUCGGCCGACGGGCUCCUCUCGGCUCGCCCGGCCCAGCCAUGCGUCUGCCAUCAUUCUGGCUGUUGCGGCAGCUGAUUGGUGCUCCUGUGUCGGGCCCUGCUGUAGAUCUGUGGUCGAAUCUUUUCAAGGAGUCUGGGUCCUCCACGCAUUUACUGUUUCAGCGGUGCAUAGAAAGGAAAGCUGCAGAUGGAUGAAUGAUUGGACCCUACACUCUUCCAUUAGUGGAUCAACAUAACCUGGAGAAGAAUCAAUGUGUUUUUAUGCCAUUUUUCUCAUUUUGGUUGAGAAUAAUCAUUUGUAUUCUCGUUUGUAGAACAAUUUUUGGCCACAUAAGAAUGAUUUCACUUUUGAAGUAUGUUUAUUUUUUAUUUUAUAACACAUUUGGAACAUUUUGAUAAUUGAAAAAGAAUAUUACACAGAACAACAAUAGAAGAAUGUCAACAUCCAUUCUGUUGACAUUUUCCUACUCGUUUUCACUACUUCUUGUAUUUAUUGCGACUCUAUCUCUCCAAGUUUGUGCACUUCAUCUCCUCUUGUAUGAUAUCAGUGCUAAAGAGGUUGGGGUAGUAAUACAGACAUCACAAUUUCUUCAAAAGUGUAAAUUUUCAAUGGAAUGAUAUCAAAAACAUGUUUCUG
ensembl:lncRNA